rnacentral:tRNA from 1 species
UGGCUCAGUUGGUAGAGCAUGGUGUUUGCAACGCCAGGGUUGUGGGUUCAAUUCCCGU